rnacentral:rRNA from 1 species
AAUCAACGCUGGCGGCGUGCCUAACACAUGCAAGUCGAACGAGAAAGUCCCGCAAGGGAUGAGUACAGUGGCGUACGGGUGAGUAACACGUGGACAACCUGCCACCGAAUGGGGAAUAACCCUGGGAAACCGGGGCUAAUACCGCAUAACACCUUUGGGCUUCGGCCUGGGGGUUGAAAUCCGCAAGGAGUUUGGUGAGGGGUCCGCGGCCGAUUAGCUAGUUGGUGAGGUAACGGCCCACCAAGGCUAUGAUCGGUAGCCGGCCUGAGAGGGCGGACGGCCACACUGGAACUGCAACACGGUCCAGACUCCUAUGGGAGGCAGCAGUGGGGAAUAUUGGACAAUGGGCGCAAGCCUGAUCCAGCAAUGCCGCGUGAGUGAUGAAGGCCUUAGGGUUGUAAAGCUCUUUCGCACGCGACGAUGAUGACGGUAGCGUGAGAAGAAGCCCCGGCUAACUUCGUGCCAGCAGCCGCGGUAACAC